GGUGAGAUGGCUCAGUGGUUAAGAGCACUGACUGCUCUUCCAAAGUUCCUGAGUUCAAUUCUCAGCACCU
rnacentral:tRNA from 1 species